rnacentral:rRNA from 1 species
GAUGAACGCUGGCGGCGUGCCUAAUACAUGCAAGUCGAGCGAACAGACGAGGAGCUUGCUCCUCUGACGUUAGCGGCGGACGGGUGAGUAACACGUGGAUAACCUACCUAUAAGACUGGGAUAACUUCGGGAAACCGGAGCUAAUACCGGAUAAUAUAUUGAACCGCAUGGUUCAAUAGUGAAAGACGGUUUUGCUGUCACUUAUAGAUGGAUCCGCGCCGCAUUAGCUAGUUGGUAAGGUAACGGCUUACCAAGGCAACGAUGCGUAGCCGACCUGAGAGGAUGAUCGGCCACACUGGAACUGAGACACGGUCCAGACUCCUACGGGAGGCAGCAGUAGGGAAUCUUCGGCAAUGGGCGAAAGCCUGACGGAGCAACGCCGCGUGAGUGAUGAAGGUCUUCGGAUCGUAAAACUCUGUUAUUAGGGAAGAACAAAUGUGUAAGUAACUAUGCACGUCUUGACGGUACCUAAUCAGAAAGCCACGGCUAACUACGUG